UACGUAGGGGGCAAGCGUUGUCCGGGAUUAUUGGGCGUAAAGCGCACGUAGGCGGCUUUGCAAGUCGGAUGUGAAAUCCCUCGGCUUAACCAAGGAAGUGCAUCCGAAACUGCAGAGCUUGAGUACUUAAGAGGAUCGCGGAAUUCCCGGUGUAGAGGUGAAAUUCGUAGAUAUCGGGAGGAACACCAGUGGCGAAGGCGGCGAUCUGGGAAGAUACUGACGCUGAGGUGCGAAAGCGUGGGGAGCAAUCAGG
rnacentral:rRNA from 1 species